GACGAACGCUGGCGGCGUGCUUAACACAUGCAAGUCGAACGGGCCUGUCUUCUUUUUUGGGGGUGGGUUGAGUGGCGAACGGGUGAGUAUCACGUGAGUAACCUGCCCUUCGGUCCUGGAUAACCGCUUGAAAGGGCGGCUAAUACGGGGUGGUCCGGUUGGUCCGCAUGGGCUGGUCGGGAUAGAUUCACUGUUUUUGGUGUUUCGGCGGGGGAUGGGCUCGCGGCCUAUCAGCUUGUUGGUGGGGUGAUGGCCUGCCAAGGCGGUGACGGGUAGCCGGCCUGAGAGGGUGGGCGGCCACACUGGGACUGAGAUACGGCCCAGACUCCUGCGGGAGGCAGCAGUGGGGGGUAUUGCACAAUGGGCGGAAGCCUGAUGCAGCGACGUCGCGUGAGGGAUGGAGGCCUUCGGGUUGUGAACCUCUGUUUCCGGUGGUGAAGGCCCUGUCCGUGUGGUGGGGUUGACGGUAGCCGGGGAUGAAGCGCCGGCUAACUACGU
rnacentral:rRNA from 1 species